AACGAACGCUGGCGGCGUGCCUAACACAUGCAAGUCGAGCGCGAAUGGAGCAAUCCUAGUAGAGCGGCGCACGGGUGCGUAACACGUGGAUAAUCUGCCUGGAAGACCGGGACAACCUGCCGAAAGGCUGGCUAAUACCGGAUAAGCCCACAGGGACUUCGGUCCUCGAGGGAAAAGGUGGCCUCUGUAUACAAGCUAUCACUUCCAGAUGAGUCCGCGGCCCAUCAGCUAGUUGGCGGGGUAAUGGCCCACCAAGGCAACGACGGGUAGCUGGUCUGAGAGGACGAUCAGCCACACUGGAACUGAGACACGGUCCAGACUCCUACGGGAGGCAGCAGUGGGGAAUUUUGCACAAUGGGCGAAAGCCUGAUGCAGCAACGCCGCGUGUGUGAUGAAGGUCUUCGGAUUGUAAAGCACUUUCGACCGGGAAAAAAACCCGCUGGCUAACAUCCAGCGGUUUGAUGGUACCGGGAGAAGAAGCACCGGCUAACUCUGUGCCAGCAGCCGCCGUAAGAC
rnacentral:rRNA from 1 species